CAUAAUUGUAUGUACAAACUCAAAGACCUAAAAUUUAUAUAAAACAAACUCAAAGGGCUAAAGUGAAAAAGCAUCCUCUUUCUUCCUCUUCUUCGUACCGUACAGGAAAGAAAACAGAGAUGAAUUCGUCGUUGAGAAACAGAAGCAUAUCCCAAUCAAGCCCAAUAACGGAAUGGUCCACCCUCGGAACCGAUAUAUUGCGAGAGAUUACGAAGCGCUUGGACGACACCACUCGCCCAGAGAUUCUCCGAUUACGCGCCGUCUGCAAAGGUUGGCGUUCCUCAAUCCCUUUCCCACCCAUUCCCAACAACGUCUUCAAACGUGCUAGCUUGCCUCUCGAAAUUCCCUUUCUAGCCUUGAAAGGCUUCAAAGGUAAACAAGGCCACCUAUUACUCAAACAAGACACCAUUUAUUCUCUCGAACCCUUGGUCAAGAUUCACAGUGGUCGGGAGGUUACUAGCAACUGGUUUGUCAAGAUCGAAGAGACCGAUGAUUCUGGGAAGGUUAUUCUCAAAGACCCACUUUCCAGAAUGACCAUUAAGGAUUUGGGGAAUACCACUGGUCUUCCCAAAGUCAUCAAUCUAUUGGAUUAUAGAGUGAGAGAUGUAGGCAAAGAGUACCAUUUUGAAUUUGUACUAGGCAAAAACCCACCUGUAGAAUUUACCAAGUUGAAGAAAGUUGUUGUGGGUAAGGAUAAAAACGGUGAAUAUGUUGUCAUGGUUCUCCAUAUCAAUGGAAAAUUGGCAGUAUGGAAGAUGGGCGAAGAUAGAUGGGUAGAAAUAGAUAAUGGGUCUCAUUACAAAGAUAUUAUUUAUCACAAAGGGAGGUUUUACGCUGUAGAUCGUAGGACAUGGGUUAUAGCUGUUGAUUGUUCUUCAUUGGAGAUUACACAAGUUGCUCUAGAUGCUUGUAAAUUUGGGGAUGUGUAUCUCCGAGAAUAUGUAAUCUACUUGGUGAAGUCAGGGGAUGAUUUGUAUUUGGUUAAUAAGUAUGGGUCUCAGUUCAAGAAUACUUUCAAACUUAAAGAAAAGUCAGGCAUGUGGGUCAGUAACUUCAGUUCUUGGAAUUGGUUGGUGGAUCGGAUAAUGUUUGUGGGAUCAUGGCAUUGUUCUUACUCUUUUUCGGCUAGAGAAUUUCCCGGAUGCAAGGAGAACUGUAUUUAUUACAGGGAUGAUUGUUUCAUUAGUGGAGAUAGGGAUAUGGAUGGUUACCCAGGCAGUGCUGCUGGCGUGUAUGACUUUUCGGACUACACUGCUCGGCCCCUAAAAUCUCUUUCGGGCUAUUCUCAACUUUUCUGGCCUCCCCCACAUUGGCUAAAGCAAACACCAAGUUAAAAAUUCAUGCAAUAGAUUGAAGUGUCAGAGUAAACCAAUUUUGCAUCAUAUAAUUCUAAUUUUGUGGAUUCUCAUCACUAUAUAGGUGAUCUCUGGAGAGAUUUAUGGCAUAUGCACUGAUCAAUUUUAACCAUCUGAACAGCAUGCUUGUCCAAAAUGUUUGAUCAACAGUGACUAUCUGUUAUGUGGACUUUUGACUUUUGACUUGGUAGCUUUUGUCUAUAUUUUGUAAAACAUUUACUCGUGGAAAUUGUGGGUAGGUUAAUUUUCUUGA